UACGUAGGUGGCAAGCGUUGUCCGGAUUUACUGGGCGUAAAGAGCGCGCAGGCGGUCGGAUUAGUCGCGUGUGAAAGCCCCCGGCUCAACUGGGGAGGGUCACGCGAUACUGUUCGACUCGAAGGCAGGAGAGGGAAGUGGAAUUCCCGGUGUAGUGGUGAAAUGCGUAGAUAUCAUGAGGAAGACCAGUGGCGAAGGCGGAUCUCUGGACAGUUCCUGACACUGAGGCACGAAGGCCAGGGGAGCAAACGGGG
rnacentral:rRNA from 1 species